GGAAAAAGAAGGAAAUCUACUCGAAAACUCAUUCAAUUUGUGGUUGUCAUCUGCUAAUCCAAUUGCUUUCAGAUGUAGUACGAUGAAAUUGAACGAAAAGAAAAAGAGCAGUAAUUUACAGAAUGCCUCCAUGAAAAAGUGAAUGUAACUUGACAUCAAUCGUUCAUAAGCUAGAAACUCUGCGUUCCCUAAGCACAUUUCUGCGUUGAGGAGGAUCUCUUAGUGCUGGUUCUGUUUUUGAAGUGGUGCCUUUGGUCACCUGUGUUUACUCUAUUGCUUUCACCGAGCACUACGGUUAAGCAAACCUUGGAAUGACAGAUAAAGAUCUUUGUUCUCCGUUCCGAAAAUCUCUUCUGAUUUUUUCAAAGUUUCCUCACGAGACUGCUUUUGUGCAUUUAAUUCCUUAAUGUUGGUCAGAAAGGCACUGAACUGCUCAUAGGAUAGGCGACUCCUAGCUUGUCGGAAGAACUCCUUCCCAUCAAUUCGAGGAGUUUGACCUGGCAAUGGGCGUGACUUGGGAGGGGAAUUAGCUGCUGAUGACUGUUGACUUGAUGGGAAAAAAGACGACAUUGAACCACGUCCCUCAUAUUGAGAGUUUGUUGGAGAGUUGGCGCCAGACAUCCUCUGAGGAGAUCCAGCAACAGAAUAUCUUCUAGGAGAUACACUAGUGGAGAUUAUUUUGGGAGUCCCAGUUGGAGUAAAACGCGGUGUUAUGUAGGGUGACAUGGAAUAACUUUGCAAAGCUCGCUUUGAGGCAUCAUCAUUAAUUACUGUGCUGUCCAUAUUCCUUGAAGGAGGAGGUGAACAGCUAUGCAGUACACCA
rnacentral:misc_RNA from 1 species